rnacentral:rRNA from 1 species
GAUGAACGCUGGCGGCGUGCCUAAUACAUGCAAGUCGAGCGAACGGACGAGAAGCUUGCUUCUCUGAUGUUAGCGGCGGACGGGUGAGUAACACGUGGAUAACCUACCUAUAAGACUGGGAUAACUUCGGGAAACCGGAGCUAAUACCGGAUAAUAUUUUGAACCGCAUGGUUCAAAAGUGAAAGACGGUCUUGCUGUCACUUAUAGAUGGAUCCGCGCUGCAUUAGCUAGUUGGUAAGGUAACGGCUUACCAAGGCAACGAUGCAUAGCCGACCUGAGAGGGUGAUCGGCCACACUGGAACUGAGACACGGUCCAGACUCCUACGGGAGGCAGCAGUAGGGAAUCUUCCGCAAUGGGCGAAAGCCCGACGGAGCAACGCCGCGUGAGUGAUGAAGGUCUUCGGAUCGUAAAACUCUGUUAUUAGGGAAGAACAAAUGUGUAAGUAACUGUGCACAUCUUGACGGUACCUAAUCAGAAAGCCACGGCUAACUACGUG